GUACAUCUGGUUUUAGGUUGGGGUGACCGCGGAGCACAAAUAAGCCUCCACAAUGAAUGGAAUUAUCCCCUUAUCUAAGAACUACACUUCUAAGAAUUAAUAUUUUAACAUUUAAUGAUCCAAUAAUUGAUCAACGAACCAAGUUACCCUGGGGAUAACAGCGCAAUCCACUUCAAGAGCUCCUAUCGACAAGUGGGUUUACGACCUCGAUGUUGGAUCAGGGUAUCCCAGUGGUGCAGCAGUUACUAAAGGUUCGUUUGUUCAACGAUUAAAACCCUACGUGAUCUGAGUU
rnacentral:rRNA from 1 species